GACCUCAAAUCAGGUAGGACUACCCGCUGAACUUAAGCAUAUCAAUAAGCGGAGGAAAAGAAACUAACAAGGAUUCCCCUAGUAACUGCGAGUGAAGCGGGAAAAGCUCAAAUUUAAAAUCUGGUGGUUGUUUUUGACCGUCCGAGUUGUAAUCUAGAGAAGUGUUACCUGUGCUGGACCAUGUACAAGUCUCCUGGAAUGGAGCAUCAUAGAGGGUGAGAAUCCCGUCUUUGACAUGGACUACCAGUGCAUCUUGGUGCGCUCUCGAAGAGUCGAGUUGUUUGGGAAUGCAGCUCAAAAUGGGUGGUAAAUGCCAUCUAAAGCUAAAUAUUGGCGAGAGACCGAUAGCGAACAAGUACCGUGAGGGAAAGAUGAAAAGAACUUUGGAAAGAGAGUUAAACAGUACGUGAAAUUGCUGAAAGGGAAACGCUUGAAGUCAG
rnacentral:rRNA from 1 species